rnacentral:rRNA from 1 species
UACGAAGGGGGCUAGCGUUGUUCGGAAUCACUGGGCGUAAAGGGCGCGUAGGCGGCUGUUCAAGUCUGGGGUGAAAUCCCGUGGCUCAACCACGGAAUGGCCUUCGAUACUGGACGGCUAGAGACCGGAAGAGGUGAGUGGAACUGCGAGUGUAGAGGUGAAAUUCGUAGAUAUUCGCAAGAACACCAGUGGCGAAGGCGGCUCACUGGUCCGGUUCUGACGCUGAGGCGCGAAAGCGUGGGGAGCAAACAGG